GCGGGUAUAGUCUAAUGGUAAGACAUGUGCUUCCCAAGCAUGAGACGCGGGUUCGAUUCCCACUACCCGCA
rnacentral:tRNA from 1 species